rnacentral:tRNA from 1 species
GCAGUGGUAGUUCAGUGGUAGAAUUCUCACCAUCUAGGUGGGAAACCCGGGUUCGAUUCCCAGCUGGUGCA